rnacentral:lncRNA from 1 species
AUUGUCGUAAUCUGAUCACCAUCGAGAGAGUCUGAUCAUCAUGAUAUAGUCACACAGUAUAUUUGGCCUCUGCGGACCAUCCACAUGAAGCUCCCGGUCUGAUCGACUCCUCAUGAGUGCUAGCUCGUUGUAGAGCCCUUUUGACGGUCGAUGCUGAUCGAACUCCUUUGAUCAAUGUCUGUCGAUUCUUUGGAUGCUC